rnacentral:sRNA from 2 species
GAAUGACGAACAACAAACUCAGGAACGAGGACGGGGGACCCAACAUCUCCGAUGGAGAUACGGACAUCCGCACGGAUGCCCUUGGGGUUAAGUCCACCGGCCGCCACGGCGACCACGGACCGAGCAACCUCUCGUUCGAACCCGACAGCUGACUUCGUAGGCGCGUGGAGAGAGGAAAG